GUUCCUUCAAGAACCUCCGAUAAAAUUGGAACAAUACAAAAGAUUAAUAUGACCUUUACGCAAGGAUGACUCGCACAAAUCGUAAAAUGGUCUAAAUAUUU